UACGAAGGGGGCUAGCGUUGUUCGGAAUUACUGGGCGUAAAGCGUACGUAGGCGGAUACUUAAGUCAGGGGUGAAAUCCCGGGGCUCAACCCCGGAACUGCCUUUGAUACUGGGUAUCUCGAGUCCGGCAGAGGUGAGUGGAAUUCCGAGUGUAGAGGUGAAAUUCGUAGAUAUUCGGAGGAACACCAGUGGCGAAGGCGGCUCACUGGACCGGUACUGACGCUGAGGUGCG
rnacentral:rRNA from 1 species